rnacentral:lncRNA from 1 species
CAGCUAGCUCAAUUUUGCGGGGAAAGAUGAUCAUCAUACACUGAAGCUUCAAUUUUGGGGAAGGUGACAAUUGCUUAUUCUUCUAAAACAUUCUUAUUAUUUGCUUAAACUUUUGUUCUCUUAACUUUGUAAGGUUUGAAGUGGUACUAAAUUGUUUAGUUCUUAGUUGUAGGUUGUCCCAUGGUAUUGGUGAUUAAUUGAUUAUUAUAUUUCACGUUUCUAUGUCUAG